GGUUAAGCGACUAAGCGUACACGGUGGAUGCCCUGGCAGUCAGAGGCGAUGAAGGACGUGCUAAUCUGCGAAAAGCGUCGGUAAGGUGAUAUGAACCGUUAUAGCCGGCGAUGUCCGAAUGGGGAAACCCAGUGCAAUUCGUUGCACUAUCGUUAACUGAAUACAUAGGUUAACGAGGCGAACCGGGGGAACUGAAACAUCUAAGUACCCCGAGGAAAAGAAAUCAACCGAGAUUCCCCCAGUAGCGGCGAGCGAACGGGGAGCAGCCCAGAGUCUGAAUCAGCUUGUGUGUUAGUGGAACGGUCUGGAAAGUCCGACGGUACAGGGUGAUAGUCCCGUACACCAAAAUGCACAGGUUGUGAACUCGAAGAGUAGGGCGGGACACGUGGUAUCCUGUCUGAAUAUGGGGGGACCAUCCUCCAAGGCUAAAUACUCCUGACUGACCGAUAGUGAACCAGUACCGUGAGGGAAAGGCGAAAAGAACCCCGGCGAGGGGAGUGAAAAAGAACCUGAAACCGUGUACGUACAAGCAGUGGGAGCACCUUCGGGUGUGACUGCGUACCUUUUGUAUAAUGGGUCAGCGACUUAUAUUCUGUAGCAAGGUUAACCGUAUAGGGGAGCCGCAGGGAAACCGAGUCUUAACUGGGCGUUAAGUUGCAGGGUAUAGACCCGAAACCCGGUGAUCUAGCCAUGGGCAGGUUGAAGGUUGGGUAACACUAACUGGAGGACCGAACCGACUAAUGUUGAAAAAUUAGCGGAUGACUUGUGGCUGGGGGUGAAAGGCCAAUCAAACCGGGAGAUAGCUGGUUCUCCCCGAAAGCUAUUUAGGUAGCGCCUCGUGAACUCAUCUUCGGGGGUAGAGCACUGUUUCGGCUAGGGGGUCAUCCCGACUUACCAACCCGAUGCAAACUACGAAUACCGAAGAAUGUUAUCACGGGAGACACACGGCGGGUGCUAACGUCCGUCGUGAAGAGGGAAACAACCCAGACCGCCAGCUAAGGUCCCAAAGUCAUGGUUAAGUGGGAAACGAUGUGGGAAGGCACAGACAGCCAGGAUGUUGGCUUAGAAGCAGCCAUCAUUUAAAGAAAGCGUAAUAGCUCACUGGUCGAGUCGGCCUGCGCGGAAGAUGUAACGGGGCUAAACCAUGCACCGAAGCUGCGGCAGCGACACUAUGUGUUGUUGGGUAGGGGAGCGUUCUGUAAGCCUGCGAAGGUGUGCUGUGAGGCAUGCUGGAGGUAUCAGAAGUGCGAAUGCUGACAUAAGUAACGAUAAAGCGGGUGAAAAGCCCGCUCGCCGGAAGACCAAGGGUUCCUGUCCAACGUUAAUCGGGGCAGGGUGAGUCGACCCCUAAGGCGAGGCCGAAAGGCGUAGUCGAUGGGAAACAGGUUAAUAUUCCUGUACUUGGUGUUACUGCGAAGGGGGGACGGAGAAGGCUAUGUUAGCCGGGCGACGGUUGUCCCGGUUUAAGCAUGUAGGCUGGUUAUCCAGGCAAAUCCGGAUAAUCAAGGCUGAGGUGUGAUGACGAGGCACUACGGUGCUGAAGUAACAAAUGCCCUGCUUCCAGGAAAAGCCUCUAAGCAUCAGGUAACAUCAAAUCGUACCCCAAACCGACACAGGUGGUCAGGUAGAGAAUACCAAGGCGCUUGAGAGAACUCGGGUGAAGGAACUAGGCAAAAUGGUGCCGUAACUUCGGGAGAAGGCACGCUGGUGUGUAGGUGAAGUCCCUGCGGAUGGAGCUGAGACCAGUCGAAGAUACCAGCUGGCUGCAACUGUUUAUUAAAAACACAGCACUGUGCAAACACGAAAGUGGACGUAUACGGUGUGACGCCUGCCCGGUGCCGGAAGGUUAAUUGAUGGGGUUAUCCGUAAGGAGAAGCUCUUGAUCGAAGCCCCGGUAAACGGCGGCCGUAACUAUAACGGUCCUAAGGUAGCGAAAUUCCUUGUCGGGUAAGUUCCGACCUGCACGAAUGGCGUAAUGAUGGCCAGGCUGUCUCCACCCGAGACUCAGUGAAAUUGAACUCGCUGUGAAGAUGCAGUGUACCCGCGGCAAGACGGAAAGACCCCGUGAACCUUUACUAUAGCUUGACACUGAACAUUGAGCCUUGAUGUGUAGGAUAGGUGGGAGGCUUUGAAGCGUGGACGCCAGUCUGCGUGGAGCCAACCUUGAAAUACCACCCUUUAAUGUUUGAUGUUCUAACGUUGGCCCCUUACCGGGGUUGCGGACAGUGUCUGGUGGGUAGUUUGACUGGGGCGGUCUCCUCCCAAAGCGUAACGGAGGAGCACGAAGGUUAGCUAAUCCUGGUCGGACAUCAGGAGGUUAGUGCAAUGGCAUAAGCUAGCUUGACUGCGAGCGUGACGGCGCGAGCAGGUGCGAAAGCAGGUCAUAGUGAUCCGGUGGUUCUGAAUGGAAGGGCCAUCGCUCAACGGAUAAAAGGUACUCCGGGGAUAACAGGCUGAUACCGCCCAAGAGUUCAUAUCGACGGCGGUGUUUGGCACCUCGAUGUCGGCUCAUCACAUCCUGGGGCUGAAGUAGGUCCCAAGGGUAUGGCUGUUCGCCAUUUAAAGUGGUACGCGAGCUGGGUUUAGAACGUCGUGAGACAGUUCGGUCCCUAUCUGCCGUGGGCGCUGGAGAAUUGAGGGGGGCUGCUCCUAGUACGAGAGGACCGGAGUGGACGCAUCACUGGUGUUCGGGUUGUCAUGCCAAUGGCACUGCCCGGUAGCUAAAUGCGGAAGAGAUAAGUGCUGAAAGCAUCUAAGCACGAAACUUGCCCCGAGAUGAGUUCUCCCUGAGACUUUAAGUCUCCUGAAGGAACGUUAAAGACGAUGACGUUGAUAGGCCGGGUGUGUAAGCGCAGCGAUGCGUUGAGCUAACCGGUACUAAUGAACCGUGAGGCUUAACCUU
rnacentral:rRNA from 1 species